CCUCAGCUCUGCAGACACCAAACUCCCCCUGAGAGAACUGGACCUCAGCUACAAUAACCUGGAAGACAGAGGAGUGAAGCUGCUCUGUGUUGGACUAACCAGUCCACUCUGCAACAUACAGACACUAGUACUAGCUGGCUGUAAAAUCACACAUGAAUCCUGUGAGACUCUGCCUCAGCUCUGCAGACACCAAACUCCCCUUGAGAGAACUGGACCUCAGCAACAAUGACCUGGAAGACAGAGGAGUGGAGCUGCUCUGUGUUGGACUAACCAGUCCACUCUGCAACAUAGAGAGACUUGUACUGGAUCACUGUGACCUCACAUAUGAAUCCUGUGAGACUCUGGCCUCAGCUCUGCAGACACUAAACUCCCUGAGAGAACUAGACCUCAGCUACAAUGACCUGGGAGACAGAGGAGUGGGAGCUGCUCUGUGAUGGACUAACCAGUCCACUCUGCAACAUACAGACACUAGUGUGAGUUAAAUAUCUUCAGUAUGAGUUAUGUGGAUGUUUUCAACAUGUGCUCUUCUGCCCUCUAGUUUAGGUCACUGUGGUCUGACAGAGGGUUGCUG